rnacentral:lncRNA from 1 species
CUUGGUAAAGCUGAGUUUGCUGAACCCUACCCUCAGAAUUCUCAUUUAGAAAGGGCAUGUGAGGACAUAGCAAGAAGAUGGUCAUCAACAAGCCUGGAAGAGAGACUCCACCUGAUACUGAAUCCAUUGAAAGAUUGAUUCUGAACUUCUAGCCUCCAAAACUGUUUUAUACACGAAUUCUGCAUUUUGCCAGAAGUUGAAGAUCUUUCUAAUACUCUGUACUCAAGAGGAAGGCAGAGCUUUCUAUGUGGAGUGACUGAAACAAUUUCGUCCAAAUGUUUGUUGCCACGGGCAAAAUAUCUAAAGAUUGUUCACUUGAAAAUUAUGACUCUUUUUCAGAAUUUUACAUCGUGUUAUUUGUUUUAUGGACUAUUCAGUAUGCAUUGCACCAACACUAAUUACUGCACUAAUAAGUCAGCGUGCUACCAAGAUGUUUUGCCAUUAUAAUUACAGCCACAUGUUGUUGUCCUUCCUCAAAUAGUCCAGGCUUAAUUGCAUCAUUUUUCAGGAGAAUUUAUGUGGUACAGCUUAAUUCAAAAUUACUACAUGAAUAAAUGAAGUGUAAACUAUUUUUUGUACUGACUCACAUACAGAAUAAAUGUUCUAG